rnacentral:misc_RNA from 1 species
UCCGGUUUGGCACCGGCAGUCCCCCGCGAGUCCUCAGCGCCUUGCGGCCUGUUAGCAACACGGGGCGGGGGUUGCGCUCGUUGCGGGACUUAACCCAACAUCUCACGACACGAGCUGACGACAGCCAUGCAGCACCUGUGCACGAGCUCCGAAGAGAAGCUCCUGUUUCCAGGAGCGAUCCCGUGCAUGUCAAGCCUAGGUAAGGUUCUGCGCGUUGCGUCGAAUUAAACCACAUGCUCCACCGCUUGUGCGGGCCCCCGUCAAUUCCUUUGAGUUUCAGCCUUGCGGCCGUACUCCCCAGGCGGGGCACUUCAUGCGUUAGCGCCGGUACCCUGAGGGUCGCUCCCCAAAGCACCUAGUGCCCAUCGUUUACGGCGUGGACUAC